CGCUUGUGUACAAAAACCUGGGUUUUCUUGUGUGUUAAUCUGUCUCCUGCCUAUUUAAUUCGUAGUCAACUGGAAGACCUUGAUGGGUAGAGGAAGAUUUUUUCCUUCCCUGUGCAAUAUCUGUGAUAUGCUAAAAAAAAUUCGUCGUGUGUUCGAAAUUCAAACUGAACCUGUGUGUGUGCGUCUGCAAUUUCAAUCUGGUCAUUCUAGCAGGACACUGCACGGGUGUGAGGCAAAGAUCUGAAGGAAGGAUCUGAAGGAGUCACACCUGCUCUGGGCAGCCUUGAGGAUCUGUGGCUGGUGUGGGCUGUUCUCUGGGGUCUUCCUUCUGCUUCCACUCAGCUCUGGCUCACAUCUCUCAAGCAUGUGCACCUGGGCAGCAGCGGGAACUCCUCUUCCCAGCGGUCUGAGCGGCUGACCUUCCCGGCAUGCUCCACGCCAGGGCUGCGCACACGUGCACGGGGCAGCCUCCCGCCCAGCCCCGCCCCCCAAUCCCAGGUAAGCUUGUGGCUGUGCCCGCUGGGUGCACUUGGAGGCCAGACAGUGCGGGCAGCCCGGGACGUUGUCACUCAAGCAUGGUGAAGCGGGGAGGACCGUGGAUCUGGGACUGCGUUCACCUGCGUCUGAAAUCCCACCUUUUCUUUUGGAAAACAAACGAAAAUGCCGCCUAGAAUCUCCAGGUGGAGAAAAGCCAAGCCCGUCCACUGUGACUUCAGAGAAGGCAGAUCAAAGGCCGACUUCAACUUCUGGAGGCUGAAUGUCUAUCACAUUCUAUGCCUCCAUCCUUCUUCCCCACAGUCUCCUCUCCCUAUGGCGGCCACAUGGAUCUUUACAUCCGCAUCAGAUCCUGCUCCCCCUGGUCAAGCUCGCUGAUGGUUCCAGUGGCCUUAGGGCUGCUCCGUGAUCUCUUCUCCCUCCCUGUACCACUCUGACCCCAUCACCUGUCUCACCUCAUUCUAUGCCAGCACAUGGGCUCCUUGUGAUUCUCCCAACGUGCCAAAUGUGUUCCCACCUUAGCUGUUGCAAUAUCUAGUUCCACUUUCUAGAACACUCUACACAUAGAGAUCUUCAUGGCUGUGUUUUCACUUUAUCCAGAACUUUGCUCAAAUACCACUUUCUCAUAGGGCCUCUCAAAAUCACGUUUUGUAAAAAAGGAACCCCUCACCCCACAAUCACUCUGUCCUGUUGCUCUGUGGUAUUUUUUCCUAAGCAUUUUGUCAUAUCCAGAUAUGUUGUAUUUUGCUUAUUAGUUUUUUGGUCUGUUUUUACCCAUUUAAAAUAAAAGCCCCAUUACAGAAAGGA